AUACGGAGGGUGCAAGCGUUAUCCGGAUUCACUGGGUUUAAAGGGUGCGUAGGAGGGCAGGUAAGUCAGUGGUGAAAUCUCCAAGCUUAACUUGGAAACUGCCGUUGAUACUAUCUGUCUUGAAUAUUGUGGAGGUGAGCGGAAUAUGUCAUGUAGCGGUGAAAUGCUUAGAUAUGACAUAGAACACCAAUUGCGAAGGCAGCUGGCUACACGAAUAUUGACACUGAUGCACGAAAGCGUGGGGAUCAAACA
rnacentral:rRNA from 1 species